rnacentral:rRNA from 1 species
GACGAACGCUGGCGGCGUGCUUAACACAUGCAAGUCGAACGGAAAGGCCCUGCUUUUGUGGGGUGCUCGAUUGGCGAACGGGUGAGUAACACGUGAGUAACCUGCCCUUGACUUUGGGAUAACUUCAGGAAACUGGGGCGAAUACCGGAUAGGAGCUCCUGCUGCAUGGUGGGGGUUGGAAAGUUUCGGCGGUUGGGGAUGGACUCGCGGCUUAUCAGCUUGUUGGUGGGGUAGUGGCUUACCAAGGCUUUGACGGGUAGCCGGCCUGAGAGGGUGACCGGCCACAUUGGGACUGAGAUACGGCCCAGACUCCUACGGGAGGCAGCAGUGGGGAAUAUUGCACAAUGGGCGGAAGCCUGAUGCAGAAACGCCGCGUGCGGGAUGACGGCCUUCGGGUUGUAAACCGCUUUCGCCUGUGACGAAGCGUGAGUGACGGUAAUGGGUAAAGAAGCACCGGCUAACUACGUG